UACGUGAGGUGGCAAGCGUUGUCCGGAAUUAUUGGGCGUAAAGCGCGCGCAGGCGGUCCUUUAAGUCUGAAUCGUGAAAGCCCACAGGCUCAACCGUGGAGGGUCAUUGGAAACUGGGGACUUGAGUGCAGAAGAGGAAAGCGGAAUUCCACGUGUAGCGGUGAAAUGCGUAGAGAUGUGGAGGAACACCAGUGGCGAAGGCGGGUCUCUGGGCCGAUACUGACGCUGAGGAGCGAAAGCCAGGAGAGCAAACGGG
rnacentral:rRNA from 1 species